rnacentral:rRNA from 1 species
GACGAACGCUGGCGGCAUGCCUAACACAUGCAAGUCGAACGGAGAUUAUUUCGUUAAUCUUAGUGGCGAACGGGUGAGUAACGCGUGGGCAACCUGCCCUCUAGAUGGGGACAACAUCCCGAAAGGGGUGCUAAUACCGAAUGUGACAGCAAUCUCGCAUGAGGAUGCUGUGAAAGAUGGUCUCUAUUUAUAAGCUAUCGCUAGAGGAUGUGCCUGCGCCUGAUUAGCUAGUUGGUGGGGUAACGGCCUACCAAGGCGAUGAUCAGUAGCCGGUCUGAGAGGAUGAACGGCCACAUUGGGACUGAGACACGGCCCAGACUCCUACGGGAGGCAGCAGUGGGGAAUCUUCCGCAAUGGGCGAGAGCCUGACGGAGCAAUGCCGCGUGAGUGAUGAAGGAAUUCGUUCCGUAAAGCUCUUUUGUUUAUGACGAAUGUGCAGAUUGUGAACAAUGAUCUGUAAUGACGGUAGUAAACGAAUAAGCCACGGCUAACUACGUG